AAUUCUCAACCAUCACCAUCUGUGGAUGGCUUGGAGUUGGGAGUUGCUGGCGGGAAACGUCAGCUCUCCUUAAAUGUAUUAGCGAUCGAGUUGGCUGGUCUUUGACGCACACGGCCUUGGACGUGAUAAUGAUCGUCGUGGCUGGAGCGUCUUUUCCUAGACUAUGUACAUGGAUGGCUUCCAAUCUACCGAUCGAGCUCAGCUACUAGUCAGUCUUUGACGAGGCCGACGAACACGAGCGAGAGAGGACUUUGA
rnacentral:misc_RNA from 1 species